ensembl:lncRNA
UUGUGGUGUUGUGUGGUGGUUUGUUGUGGUUUAAUGGUGUUUUGUUGUGGUUUAAUGGUGUUAUGUGGUUGGUUGUGGUGUUGUGUGGUGGUUUGUUGUGGUGUUGUGUGGUGGGUUGUGGUGUUAUGUGGUGGGUUGUGGUGUUAUGUGGUGGGUUGUGGUGUUGUGUGGUGGGUUGUAGUGUUGUGUGGUGGUUUGAUGGUGUUGUGUGGUGGGUUGUGGUGUUAUGUGGUGGUUUGUUGUGGUGGGUUUUGUUGUUUUUGGUGGGUUGUAGUGUUGUGUGGUGGGUUGUUGUGUUAUGUGGUGGGUUGUGGUGUUGUGUGGUGGGUUGUGGUGUUGUGUGGUGGGUUGUGGUGUUGCGUGGUGAGUUGUGGUGUUAUGUGGUGUGGUUGUGGUGUUGUGUGGUGGGUUGUGGUGUUGUGUGGUGGGUUGUGGUGUUGUGUGGUGGGUUGUGGUGUUAUGUGGUGGGUUGUGGUGUUGUGUGGUGGGUUGUGGUGUUGUGUGGUGUGUUGUGGUGUUGUGUGGUGGGUUGUGGUGUUGUGUGGUGGGUUGUGGUGUUGUGUGGUGGUUUGUUGUGGUGUUGUGUAGUGGGUUGUGGUUUUAUGUGGUUUUGUGUGGUGUUGUGUGGUGGGUUGUGGUGUUGUGUGGUGGGUUGUGGUGUUGUGUGGUGGGUUGUGGUGUUGUGUGGUGGGUUGUGGUGUUGUGUGGUGGUUUGUUGUGGUGUUGUGUAGUGGGUUGUGGUUUUAUGUGGUUUUGUGUGGUGUUGUGUGGUGGGUUGUGGUGUUGUGUGGUGGGUUGUGGUGUUGUGUGGUGGUUUGUUGUGGUGUUGUGUAGUGGGUUGUGGUUUUAUGUGGUUUUGUGUUGUGUUGUGGGUUUUGGUUUUGUGUGGUGGGUUGUAGUGUUAUGUGGUGGGUUGUGGUGUUGUGUGGUGGUUUGUUGUGGUGUUGUGUGGUGGUUUGUUGUGGUGUUGUGUGGUGGGUUGUGGUGUUGUGUGGUGGGUUGUGGUGUUGUGUGGUGGGUUGUGGUGUUGUGUGGUGUGUUGUGGUGUUGUGUGGUGGGUUGUGGUGUUGUGUGGUGGGUUGUGGUGUUGUGUGGUGGGUUUUGAUGUUGUGUGGUGGGUUGUAGUGUUAUGUGGUGGGUUGUGGUGUUGUGUGGUGGGUUUUGGUGGUUUGUGUGUUGUGUGGUGUGUUGUGGUGUUGUGUGGUGUGUUGUGGUGUUGUGUGGUGGGUUGUGGUGUUAUGUGGUGGGUUGUAGUGUUGUGUGGUGGGUUGUGGUGUUGUGUGGUGGGUUGUGGUGUUGUGUGGUGGUGUGUUGUGGUGUUGUGUAGUGGGUUGUGGUUUUAUGUUGUUUUGUGUGGUGUUGUGUGGUGGGUUGUAGUGUUGUGUGGUGGUUUGAUGGUGUUGUGUGGUGGGUUGUGGUGUUAUGUGGUGGUUUGUGGUGUUGUGUGGUGGGUUGUGAUGUUGUGUGGUGGGUUAUGGUGUUGUGUGGUGUUGUGUGGUGGGUUGUAGUGUUAUGUGGUGGGUUGUGGUGUUUUGUGGUGUUAUGUGGUGGGUUGUGGUGUUGUGUGGUGGGUUGUGGUGUUGUGUGGUGGGUUGUGGUGUUGUGUGGUGGGUUGUGGUGUUGUGUGGUGGGUUGUAGUGUUGUGUGGUGGGUUGUGGUGUUGUGUGGUGGGUUGUGGUGUUGUGUGGUGGGUUGUGGUGUUGUGUGGUGGGUUGUGGUGUUGUGUGGUGGGUUGUGGUGUUGUGUGGUGGUUUGUUGUGGUGUUGUGUAGUGGGUUGUGGUUUUAUGUGGUUUUGUGUGGUGUUGUGUGGUGGGUUGUGGUGUUGUGUGGUGUGUUGUGGUGUUGUGUGGUGGGUUGUAGUGUUGUGUGGUGGUUUGUUGUGGUGUUGUGUAGUGGGUUGUGGUUUUAUGUGGU